rnacentral:rRNA from 1 species
CAUUUCGGUGUGUAAACCACUGUCGGCAGGGAAUAAAGCCCGCAUUUAUGCGGGGGUGAAUGUACCUGCAAAGGAAGCCCCGGCUAACUUCGUGC